AAAGCCGAUAGAGGAGCAAAUGACAAGAGUAGGAUUGUGGAGUUUUGCAAACGACGAAACAAUUUGAAAGGGGAUUUUGCCGAAAUGGAAAAGAAGCUAAACUUUUCUGUUGGCAAUAUGAAUAAUAUUCAUAUUGCUGUCAUUGAUAAAAAAGGUCAGUGGAGAGCUAUCUGUGUG
rfam:Fusobacterium mortiferum ATCC 9817 genomic scaffold supercont2.8, whole genome shotgun sequence.